GAGCGAUUCAAUGUAGAGGAUGUGUUCUGUUCUAGCUGUGCUUAAAGUCCGUGUUUCAAACACACUGUUUCUUUGGAAAAACUUUCAUGAUGCUCUGCUGUUUACUCCUUCUAUUUUCUUCUACUAUCAUGGAUGACAGUUUUCAGGAUGAAAUAACAGCAGCAGCUGAAGAAGUGAAUGUUCUGGAGGGAAGCAGUGUUACACUCUCAUGCACUUACACCACUGAUGCAAGCUAUUUACUCUGGUACCGCCAGUACCCCCGAUCCAACCCUGAAUUACUCAUCUCUGUUUGGUAUCACCAGCACCCUGGAUCCAAACCAGAAUUCGUCAUCCUUAUCUAUGCUAUGGAAAAGACAGAGAAGAGGUUCACUGUGAAACAGGACAAAACGAACAGACAUGUGCAACUGGAGAUCUCCUCUGCUGAAGUGACAGACUCUGCACUGUACUACUGUGCC